rnacentral:rRNA from 1 species
GACGAACCGUGCGAACGUUGUUCGGAAUCACUGGGCUUAAAGGGCGCGUAGGCGGGUUCGCAAGUCUGUGGUGAAAGCCUCCAGCUUAACUGGAGAAGUGCCAUGGAUACUGCGCAUCUUGAGGAGGGUAGGGGCGUCUGGAACGGUCGGUGGAGCGGUGAAAUGCGUUGAUAUCGACCGGAACUCCGGUGGCGAAAGGCGAGGCGUGGACCCUUUCUGACGCUGAGGCGCGAAAGCCAGGGGAGCAAACGGG